CGCCUACGGGAGGCAGCAGUGGGGAAUAUUGCACAAUGGGGGGAACCCUGAUGCAGCGACGCCGCGUGAGUGAAGAAGUAUCUCGGUACGCAAAGCUCUAUCAGCAGGGAAGAAAAUGACGGUACCUGACUAAGAAGCCCCGGCUAACUACGUGCCAGCAGCCGCGGUAAUACGUAGGGGGCAAGCGUUAUCCGGAUUUACUGGGGGUAAAGGGAGCGUAGACGGCACUGCAAGUCCGGAGUGAAAGCCCAAGGCU
rnacentral:rRNA from 1 species